rnacentral:rRNA from 1 species
UGGGGAAUCUUGGACAAUGGGGGCAACCCUGAUCCAGCCAUGCCGCGUGAGUGAUGAAGGCCUUAGGGUCGUAAAGCUCUUUCGCCUGUGAAGAUAAUGACGGUAGCAGGUAAAGAAACCCCGGCUAACUCCGUGCCAGCAGCCGCGGUAAUACGGAGGGGGUUAGCGUUGUUCGGAAUUACUGGGCGUAAAGCGCACGUAGGCGGACCAGAAAGUUGGGGGUGAAAUCCCGGGGGCUCAACCCCGGAACUGCCUCCAAAACUAUUGGUCUAGAGUUCGAGAGAGGUGAGUGGAAUUCCAAGUGUAGAGGUGAAAUUCGUAGAUAUUUGGAGGAACACCAGUGGCGAAGGCGGCUCACUGGCUCGAUACUGACGCUGAGGUGCGAAAAGUGUGGGGAGCAAACAGGAUUAGAUACCCUGGUAGUCCACACCGUAAAACGAUGAAUGCCAGUCGUCGGGUAGCAUGCUAUUCGGUGACACACCUAACGGAUUAAGCAUUCCGCCUGGGGAGUACGGUCGCAAGAUU